rnacentral:rRNA from 1 species
UACAGAGGUCUCAAGCGUUGUUCGGAUUCAUUGGGCGUAAAGGGUGCGUAGGCGGCGCGGUAAGUCGGGUGUGAAAUCUUGGAGCUUAACUCCGAAACUGCAUUCGAUACUGCCGUGCUUGAGGACUGGAAAGGAGACUGGAAUUUACGGUGUAGCGGUGAAAUGCGUAGAUAUCGUAAGGAAGACCAGUGGCGAAGGCGGGGCUCUGGACAGUUCCUGACGCUGAGGCACGAAGGUCAGGGGAGCAAACGGG